rnacentral:tRNA from 1 species
GGUCGGUUAGCUCAGUUGGUUAGAGUGCCACGUUGACAUCGUGGAGGUCACUGGUUCGAAUCCAGUACUGACCACAA